GCCUUACGUUGGACGGAGUUGAUGAGCGCCCGGUACUGAUGGCGGAUCUGGCGGCACAGGCCUUGGUCGGCCUCCGCCUCCAAGCUGGCCGGGUCCAUCAUCUCGUCCCCGGAAUCCGACGGCUCUGUGUCCUCCAGGCUCGGGCGCUCUGGGGCCUCUCUGCGCUCCCGCGCAGAGCCGCGGCGGGACCUGGGCGACAAAGGGGACCGCGAGCGGGAGCGGGAGCGGGUGCGAUCCCGAUGCGGGUCGCGGCCCCGGCCCCGGCCCUCUGGCCCGCGGCCGCUGCUGUCCCCAGACAUAGCGCCAAUUCACCGUGCAACUUCGGAACGGCGGAAGUUCGCGCCAGAAACUGAAACCCCUGCUCUGCGCCAGCGCCUGCUCCCGGCGGAACGCGGCUCCCGGGCCCGCGCGAGCGCACAGCGACGCCUGUGGCUGGAGGCCGGCGACGGGCCCGGCCGGGUCUCCAAGGCGCCUGGGGGGACCGCUGGGUGCACAAGAGGGGCCUGGCGGGGAUCCUUUGUUCCCUUGACAAGAGGUGUAAUGAGCUCUUACUCCACACUGCAGGGCUGUGAGAAUCUUGGUUUUCUGCCCCUACUUUCCCACCCUCCUGGACCUGCAUCUUCCCUAGGUCCCUUUGCCUGCCCAGGACACAGCCGCAGCCUGGCACCCACAUGGGCACGCAGUCCAUGUGUGUUGAACGAGCUUCCUGCUGUGGAGCAGGAUGAGCGCGGGAUGUGGAGUCCAGACGCGGUCUGCUGCUCACCUGCGACCUCAGUUUCCCUGUGCCAUCAUGGCUGGGGUCGGGGGGGUGGGGAACAGGGGUGGGUGGAUGAAUCAAAUAUUUAUGUGCAGCUGGCAAUACCAUUUUUUGUGAGGAUAGCAGAACAAAUUAACAGGUAAACAUCCUUCUAAAUAUCUACAACAGAAUGUCACCAGAGCACCAGGGUUUUGUUCUAGGACCCGCUGCCCCCUCACAGAAAUCACUGAGAAAACCAUUAUUACCAAGGAAGAAGGCUUUAGUAGGGUGCUGCACUCAGGGAGUUGGAAGCUCAGUCUCAAAUCCAUUGCCCUGACCAACUAAAAUUAAGGGUUUAUACAGUUGCAGGGAAGCAAUGUAACAAUGUAUGGGAAAAGAGGAACUCGGGAGGGGGAAGGAAGCUAUGGGGAUGCAUGAGGGGCUUGGCAUCUCAUUGUCUGGAAUGCGGUGAUAUGGCGAGUUUCAGUUUUUUGAUACUUUUUGAGAGGCUCUGGAGGUCCUUUCCUGAGGAAGGAACUCAGAUAAAACAAAGACCUUGCUCUGCCGAGGCUGGAGUACAGUGGCACUAUCUUGGCUCACUGCAACCCCAUCUCCUGACCUCAAGUGAUCCGCCCACCUCGGCCUCCCUAAGUACUGGGAUUACAAGCAUGGGCCACCAGGCACAGCCUGAUUCUGAUUCUCAAACUAGAAGAUUCUAAGAAUACCUCCUGAAGGGCCCAAGAAAGAUGGAAUUAUGUUAAGUAUACUUUGAAAGAUAAAUGUAUGAAUUUCACUCCGUGCAUUUUGGAUUGUAUUCGAGUAUUGUUUCCCAAAAGUUGUCUUUGGUGCUAAGAACACAUUUUCUCAAAAGACCAAUAUUAUAAGUUGGGUUAUUACACAACCUACAAAUAUUCCAUUUUGUGCAUCAUGUCUACUAAACUUAAGUUAGGCACUGUUCAUUGCUGUCCAACAGCUACUACCUCACCCAUCCCUGCUUAUCUGUAUUUCCUGAAGGGGACGUGUGUGCCUACUUCCUUAGAUGAAACGUGAUCACUCUAACCAGGUCACGGUAAUGUCAUUCCCCUUCCCCAGUGACUGGUCAAGGGUCAUGUGAUGCAACCUGGGUCCGUGAGAUGUGAAAGGGUUUCCCAACUGGAUGGAAUACAAACCUUCCUGAAAAGAAAACCCUUGACCCCCUACCCCCUUUGAGAUGGCUGGCAUAAGAAAUGGGGAACCUGCCAAUUAGCGGGCAUAAUGGUGCGUGUCUGUAAUCCCAGCUAAUCGGGAGGCUGAGGCAAGAGAACUGCUUGAAGCUGGGAGGUGGAGGUUGCAGUGAGCAGAGAUCGCGCCAUUGCACUCCAGCCUGGGUGACAAGAAUGAAACAACGUCUGAAAGAAAAAAUGUGGAGCCUGCCAUAUUGGCAGCAUCUGGUACUCACGAGGUGACAAGCAUGAGGAAAGACUAGAGUGCUGGAGACACUGGAGAGCAAAGAUGGACAUGGCUGAAUUGCUGAAUCAACCACAUGCCUCCAGACUCCCUGUAAAGUAAGCCAUAAAUCAUGGUUUAAACCAGGUCAUUGUUUCAUAGUUGUUGCUUGUAGCUCAGUGUUCUGUAAUGGAAUACUUAGCGUUCUUCCAGGUGAAAGUGUGUCCAGAAUUGGUGGGUUCUUGGUCUCACUGACUUCAGGAAUGAAGCCGCGGACCCUCGCAGUGAGUGUUACAGUUCUUAAAGGUGAUGUGUCCGGAGUUUUUUCCUUAUGAUGUUCAGAUGUGUUCGCAGUUUCUUCUUUCUGGUGGGUUCGUGGUCUCACUCGCUCAGGAGUGAAGCUGCAGACCUUCACGGUGAGUGUUACAGCUCUUAAUGCGGCGUGUCUGGAGUUGUUCGUUCCUCCCGGUGGGUUUGUGGUAUUGCUGGCCUCAGAAAUGAAGCUGCAGACCUUCACAGUGAGUGUUACAACUCAUAAAAGCAGUGCAGACCCAAAGCGUGAACAGCAGCAAGAUUUAUUGCAAAGAGCGAAAAAAUAAAGCUUCCACAGUGUGCAAA